rnacentral:rRNA from 1 species
UUUUCUAUGGAAGCUUGCUUCCACUGAGAAGAUAGUGGCGGACGGGUGAGUAACACGUGGGUAACCUGCCCAUAAGAGGGGGAUAACAUCCGGAAACGGGUGCUAAUACCGCAUAGUUUUCUUGAUCGCAUGAUUGAGAAAGGAAAGACGGCCUUUGUGCUGUCGCUUAUGGAUGGACCCGCGGCGUAUUAGUUAGUUGGUGAGGUAACGGCUCACCAAGACGAUGAUACGUAGCCGACCUGAGAGGGUGAUCGGCCACAUUGGGACUGAGACACGGCCCAAACUCCUACGGGAGGCAGCAGUAGGGAAUCUUCCGCAAUGGACGAAAGUCUGACGGAGCAACGCCGCGUGAGUGAAGAAGGUUUUCGGAUCGUAAAACUCUGUUGUCAGAGAAGAACAAGUCGGAGAGUAACUGCUCCGGCCUUGACGGUAUCUGACCAGAAAGCCACGGCUAACUACGUGCCAGCAGCCGCGGUAAUACGUAGGUGGCAAGCGUUGUCCGGAUUUAUUGGGCGUAAAGCGAGCGCAGGCGGUUCCUUAAGUCUGAUGUGAAAGCCCACGGCUCAACCGUGGAAGGUCAUUGGAAACUGGGGAACUUGAGUACAGAAGAGGAGAGUGGAAUUCCAUGUGUAGCGG